rnacentral:tRNA from 1 species
GGUUGAGAGGUUAGAGCACAUGACUCCUGCCCCAUGGUCUCAGGUUCGAAUCCAA